rnacentral:lncRNA from 1 species
GGGCCAGGGGUUCUGCUUAUAUAGUCCCCUCAAGUGAAUCUGGGCCGUUGGAUCAAACCGACAUUGAUUGAACGGUUAUCCUUGAUCCUUUAGGUCGGUGGAGUGUUGGGUAUUCUUAACAUCAUUACUAAAAGUAGACUAAGUUCUAAAUCUAGCAACGGUGCCAAAAAUGCCAAACCUAUCCCUCACACCACUUAAGCCAAGUUGUCAUCCCCAGCAUGACAUGAGAGACACGGUAUUGAAAUAUGCAAUUGCUCUUCUAAAUAAAUAAUGAAUGGG